GUACAGCCCGCGUAAGGGAUUGCGGUGAUAUCUCCCGAUUUAAAAAAACAAGGCUUUUUAGCCGUAGUUUUCUAUAUCGGGAAUAAAGCCAAAAGCCCGACCCCAA
rnacentral:sRNA from 1 species